rnacentral:rRNA from 1 species
UCAGAUUGAACGCUGGCGGCAGGCCUAACACAUGCAAGUCGAGCGGAUGAAGGGAGCUUGCUCCUGGAUUCAGCGGCGGACGGGUGAGUAAUGCCUAGGAAUCUGCCCUGGUAGUGGGGGAUAACGUCCGGAAACGGGCGCUAAUACCGCAUACGUCCUGAGGGAGAAAGUGGGGGAUCUUCGGACCUCACGCUAUCAGAUGAGCCUAGGUCGGAUUAGCUAGUUGGUGGGGUAAAGGCCUACCAAGGCGACGAUCCGUAACUGGUCUGAGAGGAUGAUCAGUCACACUGGAACUGAGACACGGUCCAGACUCCUACGGGAGGCAGCAGUGGGGAAUAUUGGACAAUGGGCGAAAGCCUGAUCCAGCCAUGCCGCGUGUGUGAAGAAGGUCUUCGGAUUGUAAAGCACUUUAAGUUGGGAGGAAGGGCAGUAAGUUAAUACCUUGCUGUUUUGACGUUACCAACAGAAUAAGCACCGGCUAACUUCGUGCCAGCAGCCGCGGUAAUACGAAGGGUGCAAGCGUUAAUCGGAAUUACUGGGCGUAAAGCGUGCGCAGGCGGUUUUGUAAGACAGGCGUGAAAUCCCCGGGCUUAACCUGGGAAUGGCGCUUGUGACUGCAAGGCUAGAGUGCGUCAGAGGGGGGUAGAAUUCCACGUGUAGCAGUGAAAUGCGUAGAGAUGUGGAGGAAUACCGAUGGCGAAGGCAGCCCCCUGGGACGAGACUGACGCUCAUGCACGAAAGCGUGGGGAGCAAACAGGAUUAGAUACCCUGGUAGUCCACGCCCUAAACGAUGUCAACUAGUUGUUGGGGAUUCAUUUCCUCAGUAACGUAGCUAACGCGUGAAGUUGACCGCCUGGGGAGUACGGUCGCAAGAUUAAAACUCAAAGGAAUUGACGGU